UACGUAGGGGGCGAGCGUUGUCCGAAUUCACUGGGCGUAAAGCGCGCGUAGGCGGGUUUUUAAGUUGUGGGUGAAAUUCCGAGGCUCAACCUCGGAACUGCCUGCAAAACUGGGAGCCUUGAGGUAUGGAGAGGGAAGUGGAAUUCCUGGUGUAGCGGUGAAAUGCGUAGAUAUCAGGAGGAACACCCGUGGCGAAGGCGGCUUCCUGGCCAUAUCCUGACGCUGAGGUGCGAAAGCCAGGGUAGCGAACGGGAUUAGAAACCCUGGUAGUCC
rnacentral:rRNA from 1 species